rnacentral:miRNA from 1 species
UAUUGACGCGGUUCAAUUCGA